GGCAGUGUCCCUGGUCCCUAAAGGAAGGACGGGGCCCCGAGGGUUUUCCCGGGAUGCGCGUCCCGGUCAGGCCGCACCUUCGCGCGCCUGCCAGGACGAGAGCAGACGGCAGCGGGUUUGGGGCUCCCCGAAGCUGCCCGUGCCCCGGUGGGAGGCGCAGCCCGGCCCGCCCCUGGUCCGUGCCCCUCGGGCGGCCCCCGCGCUGCGCUGCGCCGCGCCAGGGUAACCUUGGGGCGCGCAGGGCUGGGCGUGAAGCCGUGCUUCACAUUCUCAGCCUGCAUCGCGCACUGCAGCGAGACUGGGAUCCGGUCCUUGGGAAACCUGUUGCGGAGGAGGAGGGGGAACAAGUCCUUGACGCACAGCCCGCAGCUGUUCACUAGAGUUACCAGUCGAAAGUGUCGACGGUCCAAGCUAUAUUGAAAUACUUUUCAGGGAGUGCAGUUCAAGAGAGAAACAGUUGAAAAAGGCAAGAGGGAGUCAAUUUGUAAAGUAUUUCCUAUUGUAUAAACUCGUGAAGAAACCGUGAUAAUGAAACAAGAUCUUAAGUGUUCUUUCCCUCUGCCUUAAGCCAAGUCACAUGAUAAAGUAUAAUAGUAAAGAAGCAACACGUAAAGUGUUGAGAUGCCUGUGGUGAAAUGCAGUUGUUUUUUCACAGUGUCUUUUGAUUUUCAAAAUGCAGGUUUCCCAUUUAUGUCCUGAUGACGCAACAAUUUUUUAAGUAGAGUGUAUCUUAGUGAAACAGCUUUUAGCAUUCUUCAAGGGCGUGGCACGGACACAAAAGGAGAGAACACCUCUUCGGGAAUAGGUUUGCAGUUCAUUGACUUUCCAGUCACACAGUGUGCACGAGCUUUCCAACUGGAAGUGACAACUCAGAGAGCUCUUCAGCCAGUCAGUCACUGGCUAAAUGUAUGGCACAGCAGUGCCAGUUCUCUUGUGGGUUGUAAAGACUGUAAGAAUGGGUUGAAAGCAAAGCAGUUGCUGUGGCCUGAGCCCUUCACUGAAGCAAAGUGGAGCACCCCGGACUUUAGCAGUGUCUUGGGAAAGAUCUGAAAUUAAUGAACAAAUUUUAACGCAGUGAAGUACCACACAGGACAUUGAGAUAUGAUUCAGGAAACAAAGUGCAAUAUUCCAGUCUGACUGACCUGCUGCUGCAUGCUGUUCAAACUGAUGGGAUUUGGUUGAGUCAGCAUCCUUGGAGGUGUUUAAGUUUACAGAUGGAAGUUGCAAGAAUUUGAAGAAAAACAAGAUAGUGCUUGAAGUUCCUCCACUUAACAAAAGAAAGUAAAAGUGACUGCAAAUCCUUUCAUUUGGCCCGCAAAUGAUGCAUCAUCCAGGCUGUCUUGCCAGUAGUAUUAAAGGCUUUCUAUUCAGCCUGCAGCACGGAAGAAUGGGGGCCACGGGUGUCUAUCUGCAUGUGCACAGAGAGGUAUCUUCACAGAGUCACUUGAAGAGUCACAUCUUUCAUCAGAUCCUGGAUAAUCUGAGUUAUGUUUCUCUAAAGUCAGGUUACAGUCCAGCUGAGGAGUGGUAAGAGAACUGUGUAACGUCUAUGGGAUGUAAAAAUCUAGAACUGUAGUCAUACAGCUCUCUGCUCAGUGUCACAGUAGCCAACAUCUCAAAAAUAAAUAGCAAUAAAUGGUCAUAGAAAGCAAUUGUAUUGUAAGUACCAACUGCAAGCAAUUGUAGCCCCCAGCAACUAAACUGUUUUGCACAUAUAAUACAAAUCAUGCAGGCAGGAGACCUCACUUACGUCUCUGUGUGUGCAGCUUUCUAGAUACAAACAUCAGUAUCAAUAUACCAAUAAAUCAGAUGUGGGGUUUUUUUCCACCCUGACAAAUAACUGACGUUACUUGAAGAACACAGGCAGAAAUUUUAUGCAUGGACAUUAAGUUUUCAGGCUGUUCCAUCCAGAAAAUCGUGUGUUGAGGUACAGAAGCACCUAUAGAGCACUGCAGGUGAAUAUAGUUUUUCCUGGGCCCAUAAACUUUGGUGUGCCCUUCAUAAGGGUGACUUAGCAAAGGCACCACUGACUGCCACUGCUAGCUUGCUCACCAGGAGUGAAGUUAGCACUGUUAUGGUUUUGUUUGUUUCCUUGUUAGUUUGUUUCAAAUGGACUUUUGAUUCCACUGUUUUCAAUAAAACGUGGACUAUAUAAAUUUUGGUGUCCAGAAGCCCCCUCCCAAAAAGGCAGCUUUAGAAAGGAUGUACUUCCAGGAUCUUACUGGUCCUUCCACUGUGAUGAAAUGAAACUUUAUCUUUCAAAGUUGUCACUGGAAUGUUAGGGUUGCUGCCAAAUUGAGGAUGUUAACUCUGCCUAUGGAAUAUGAUGCCUUGUCAGAAAGGCAACAAUGCACAGGAGACAAGUAAAGCAGUAGUCACUCUUGAAUUUCUAAUUGUAAAAAAAGAGUGAUGCAAAUCUACCUGAAAUUCAUAUGAGGGCUCUGCCAUUGCUUGUUGAUUCACACCAGAGAAGUAUAUGUCAGGAGUGUGUCAUGUUGAAUAUUUUCAGUUUUCUGUUACAGAGAUUUUACCGUUUCAAUUCUAAGCUCCCCUUCAGUUCCACAAAUAAACAUAUUUGAAUUAUUCUUAGAGAUAUUAAAAAAAAAGAAAAAAAUGUAAUUGCAUUGGAAGGAUAGGGAACAUGCAAUUGGCCAACACAUCGUGUUAUUUCACAAUGAGAGAUCAUCAAAAUGAUUUUGAGACAGGUAGCAAAAUCAGCAUUAUACACACAUACAUCCACAGUAUCUGGUUUCAUUUAACUAUGGAUAUGUUUAAGUCUGUCUGGAGGCCAACUCUGCCAAACCUCCAAGGAUUUCGUUUUCUUGUACUGUGGGUUUUUAAUAAAAAUUCAUCUAAUUUUAAUAAUAAUUUAUAGUAGUGAGAUGAGAGUCAUUUAUUACCCUGUAUUGUCUCU